rnacentral:rRNA from 1 species
GGUUAAGCGACUAAGCGUACACGGUGGAUGCCCUGGCAGUCAGAGGCGAUGAAGGACGUGCUAAUCUGCGAUAAGCGUCGGUGAGGUGAUAUGAACCGUUAUAACCGGCGAUUUCCGAAUGGGGAAACCCAGUGUGUUUCGACACACUAUCAUUAACUGAAUC